rnacentral:antisense_RNA from 1 species
CUUCACCGAGCCCAGCCAGAGCGGCCGGUCGGCGUCGCGGUCGCGGCCGUAGGUGUCCAGCAGCGCGUUCGCCUC